AUAAAAUUUAAACACACAAGUCCUCCCAAAGCAGCACAAAGAGCACACUCUUUAUGUUGUUUUGGGAGGACUUGUGGAUUUAAAAAACAAAAGACUACU